rnacentral:rRNA from 1 species
AACGAACGCUGACGGCGUGCUUAACACAUGCAAGUCGCACGAGAAUUUCCGCCUUCGGGUGGAUUAGUAAAGUGGCGCACGGGUGAGUAACGCGUGGUUAAUCUGCCUUCAAGUCGGGAAUAACAUUGCGAAAGCGAUGCUAAUACCGGAUAAGCUCACGAUUUGACUAGUUGUGGGAAAAGAUGGCCUAGUCUAUGCUAUCGCUUGAAGAUGAGUCCGCGUACCAUUAGCUUGUUGGUAGGGUAAUGGCCUACCAAGGCGACGAUGGUUAGCUGGCCUGAGAGGGCGGCCAGCCACACUGGAACUGAGACACGGUCCAGACUCCUACGGGAGGCAGCAGUGGGGAAUAUUGCGCAAUGGGGGAAACCCUGACGCAGCGACGCCGUGUGAGUGAUGAAGGUCUUCGGAUCGUAAAGCUCUGUCAGGUGGAAAGAAUAAAGGCUGUGUGAAUAAUGCAGUCUGAUGACGGUACCACCAGAGGAAGCACCGGCUAACUCUGUGCCAGCAGCCGCAGUAAUAC